rnacentral:sRNA from 1 species
UCAUCCCUGUGUCAUGCAGUCUCCAUCCUGAUGUGUUUCUGGCCUUUGUCGACUUCCUCUGUGGGUGAGGUGGGGACUCCCGCAGGAGGCGGGGUGGCCGCACCACCUGCUUUCCUCCCGCCAGCUGCACCACCUCGUGAGUGAUGACGUCUGCCUGAAGGUGGUGGAGCUUUACCUGAACGAGAAGAAGCGGGGUGCCGCCGGUGGGAAUCUGUCCUCCCGCUGCGUCCGCGCUGCCAGGGAGACCAGCUACCAGUGGAAGGCUGAGCGCUGCAUGGCCGACGAGAACUGCUUCAAGGUGAUGUUCCUGCAGCGCAAAGGGCAGGUGAUCAUGACCAUCGAGCUCCUGGACACCGAGGAGGCCCAGACGGAGGACCCUGUGGAGGUCCAGCACCUGGCUCGGUACGUGGAGCAGUAUGUGGGGACCGAGGGCGCGUCCAGCUCGCCCACCGAGGGCUUCCUCCUGAAACCUGUGUUCCUGCAGAGGAACCUCAAGAAGUUCCGCCGCCGGUGGCAGAGCGAGCAGGCGCGGGCCCUGCGCGGUGAGGCCAGGAGCUCCUGGAAGCGGCUGGUGGGCGUGGAGAGCGCCUGCGACGUGGACUGCCGCUUCAAGCUCAGCACUCACAAGAUGGUGUUCAUCGUGAACUCCGAGGACUACAUGUACCGUCGCGGGACCCUCUGCCGGGCCAAGCAGGUGCAGCCCCUGGUCCUGCUCCGCCACCACCAGCACUUUGAGGAGUGGCACAGCCGCUGGCUGGAGGACAAUGUGACGGUGGAGGCGGCUAGCCUGGUGCAGGACUGGCUGAUGGGUGAGGAGGACGAGGACAUGGUACCCUGCAAGACGCUAUGUGAGACAGUGCACGUGCACGGCCUGCCCGUGACCCGCUACCGCGUGCAGUACAGC